AAACUGGAGAGUUUGAUCCUGGCUCAGAACGAACGCUGGCGGCGUGCCUAACACAUGCAAGUCGAACGAGAAAGUUUCCUUCGGGGAAUGAGUAAAGUGGCGCAAGGGUGAGUAACACGUGAGUAACCUGCCCUGGAGUUUGGGAUAACUUGCCGAAAGGCGAGCUAAUACCGAAUUGUAUCCAUGAACCUUGGUUUAUGGAUUAAAGGUGGCCUCUAUUUAUAAGCUACCGCUUCAGGAUGGGCUCGCGCACCAUUAGCUAGUUGGUGGGGUAAUGGCCUACCAAGGCAACGAUGGUUAGUUGGUCUGAGAGGAUGAUCAACCACACUGGAACUGAGACACGGUCCAGACUCCUACGGGAGGCAGCAGUGGGGAAUAUUGCGCAAUGGGGGAAACCCUGACGCAGCAACGCCGCGUGGAGGAUGACGGCCUUCGGGUUGUAAACUCCUGUCAAGUGGGAAGAAUCCCUUGGGGGCCAAUACCCCUCAAGGUUGACGGUACCGCUGGAGGAAGCCCCGGCUAACUCCGUGCCAGCAGCCGCGGUGAUACGGAGGGGGCAAGCGUUGUUCGGAAUUAUUGGGCGUAAAGGGCGUGUAGGCGGCUUGCUAAGUCAGGAGUGAAAUCCCCAGGCUCAACCUGGGAACUGCUUUUGAUACUGGCGAGCUUGAGACCGACAGAGGAAAACGGAAUUCCCAGUGUAGCGGUGAAAUGCGUAGAUAUUGGGAAGAACAUCAGAGGCGAAGGCGGUUUUCUGGGUCGGUACUGACGCUGAAACGCGAAAGCCAGGGGAGCAAACGGGAUUAGAUACCCCGGUAGUCCUGGCCUUAAACGAUGAGCGCUAGGUGUGGGAGGCGUUGACCCCUUCUGUGCCGUAGCUAACGCAUUAAGCGCUCCGCCUGGGGAGUACGGUCGCAAGGCUGAAACUCAAAGGAAUUGACGGGGGCCCGCACAAGCGGUGGAGCAUGUGGUUUAAUUCGACGCAACGCGAAGAACCUUACCUGGGUUUGAACUGCCGUGGAAAGCUCCUGGAGACAGGAGCCCUCUUCGGACUGCGGCAGAGGUGCUGCAUGGCUGUCGUCAGCUCGUGUCGUGAGAUGUUGGGUUAAGUCCCGCAACGAGCGCAACCCCCGCCCUUAGUUGCCAGCGGAUAAUGCCGGGCCACUCUAGGGGGACUGUCGGUGAUAAGCCGGAGGAAGGUGGGGACGACGUCAAGUCAUUAUGGCCUUUAUGUCCAGGGCUACACACGUGCUACAAUGACCGGUACAAAGAGUUGCUAAAUCGCAAGGUGGAGCUAAUCUCAAAAAACCGGCCUCAGUUCGGAUUGAAGUCUGCAAUUCGACUUCAUGAAGUUGGAAUCGCUAGUAAUCGUAGAUCAGCAUGCUACGGUGAAUACGUUCCCGGGCCUUGUACACACCGCCCGUCACACCACGAAAGUUGGUUGCACCAGAAGCCGGUAACCCAACC
rnacentral:rRNA from 1 species